CACCUGCCGGACCGUCGGCGGCCCCGGGCCUCUCCAGGCCCCUCGCGCGGCCGCUCCAGCCGGGCAGCUGGGGGCCGGGCUCCCGCGGGCAGCGGGCGAAGAUGACCCCGCUCCCCCGCCCACUCCGCAGCGCCCUGCGCCCCGCCGCACCGUCGCCUAGGAAACCGAGUGGCUCCGCAGCAUCCCGCUGACACGCGCACGCGCACGCAUGCCCCGCGGGAAGGUCAGGCCCCGCGCAUCCCUCCGCCCCUUCCCCGCAGACCCCGCCCCCAGGAGCGCGGAGACCCGACGCGGAGAUGCCCACCCCGGGGAGGGGAGCGGGGCGAGGCCCCCCCUGGGAGAGCCUGUCUAGGGCCUUCGUGGGUGGAGGGCAGCAGGCAGCCUAGGAGAGCGGGGCAGGGCUCUGGAAGCGGAGUGUUUGGGAAGAGGCUCUCCCUGCCCUGGUGGGCGGCGGUCCCCCAGAGCCCCCUCCCCCAGUUCUGGUCCUUCUUGAACUUGCCUUCAGCUGGAGAAACCAGCCUCCCCAGAGUCACCCGCCUUUGCCAGCUGCCUGUAUUCCCCUUGCCCCGCAGACACCGCGGUGAAGCCUGGUCGCCUUGUCUCCCCUGGAACAACUCCAGGGCCCCCCAGCUCCAGAGCUGCUGCAGGAUGGGGGGCUGUGUGGGGGCUGCACAGCAGCUCCCGGUCUCCUCUCCAAGUCACCUCCCUGCAGGAGGCCCUGUGAAGGCCUGUGACUGCUGAGCACCUUCUUUCCUUCCAGCCCCCCUCCUCGAGUCCUUUAAACACCUACUGUGUGCCACACUCUGUCCACAGGGCUAGGUUCCUCUUCUUUUGGACAGUUUAUUCAAAAGACAGAAAAGAAAUGAACAGCAGGAAGAAGAUUGGGUGUGUGUGCUCUCUGCAGGCUGAAUCAGGGUGAUGAGCUAGGAACUGGCAGGGGGAGGGGACCCCACUUUAUAUAGGGUGGCCAAGCAGGGCCUUCUGAGCAAGUGACAUUUAAAAAGAAAUUUGAAUGACAAGGAGAAGCCAGCAAGUCUGAAGAAUGAAAUAAAGAAAUUUCCAGACAGAGGGACAGCAGGUGCAAAGACUCAAGGUGGUACAAAGUUGUCAUGUUCAAGGGACAGAGAAGAGGUCUCUGAUGUGACAUGUGUGGCAGAGGGGAGAUGGCAGCAGGGCCAGAUCAGGUUGCAGGGCUUUGUACCCCAGCAGAAAAGGCUGGGAUCUCCUUCCAGGUGCCAGGGGAUGGCAUGUGGGAGGGGCUAAGCGGGAGUGACUGAUGUGAUGAAAAAAUAUUUUUAAUUAAAUUAAAAAAAAUUUUGUGCUGGGGAUCAAGCCCAGGGUCUUGAGCAUGCUAGGCAAGCACUGUGCCACCAAGCUACACUUCCAAUUCCUGAAGGUUUGUUGUUUUUUUAAGUUGUAGUAAAAUAUACACAAUAUAAAACGCACCAUUUUGACCAUUUUUAAGUGGAGAGUUCGGUGGCAUUGAAUACAUCCGCAGUGUGUACCCACAUCACCACCAUCUAUCUCUGAAAUAUUUUUAUCUUCCCAAAGUGUCCUCGUUAAACACCAACUGCCCUCCCCCAGCCCUUGGGACCCCACUCUACUUUCCUUCUCUAUGAAUUUGAUUGCUCUAGGGACCUCCUGUGAGUGAGGCCAUGUAGCGUUUGUCCUGUUGUGACUCGCUCGUGCGUGCCCCUUGGCAUUGUGUCUCCCAGGGUCAAUCCACGUGUGCAUCAGAAUUUCCUUCCUCUGAAUGGUGGUACCUAACCUUCUCGCUGGGCUCUGGUCACAGGCAUCUUCUGCCUACACGCCUCUGACAUCUAUGUCUAAGCCCCUGUCUGACCUGGGCUCCCUGGUUCCACUUUCCCCUUCUGUGAAAUGGGGUGACAGCAGCACCCUCCCAGGACUGGCAAGAGCUGGUGGAGAUAAUGGAAAGAGGGGCUUGGCAUGGAGCAUGCACCUGGAUUCUAGAUGGAAAGUGGGGGAUCACAAACCACUGUUGGCACAAAGGGUCUAGGUGCAGAGUCCCCGUCAGUAAGGUCUGGGUAACCCUCCUGAAAUCUGUGCACCCAGACGCCAGCCAGAGCCGGCCUCCCAGAAGCCUUUCUGUGGACGGAGGUCUGAGGCCUGCCACAGGGCCCUUAGGACGUAUUGCCUUCAUGCUGUGCCCUGUCAGGUGACGUGGAGUUCCGGUGGGAGUUGGGGUCCCUCAGGCUGUGUUCCCAGGGCAGAGGAACCCUGGAGCUUCCCUGAGAAAGGUAGACGGGGAGCAGCAGCCCUGGCUUAGGGGGGUGGUGCCCCUUGGGCACAAGGGCCCCUUCUGUGAAUGUGUGCACACACACCACAGGCCUCUGGGGUUCCUCCAGGUACCCCAGAGGAAGCCUCUGAAAUGGCCCCAGGCACUGACCACUGGCCAGCUCAGAACCACAACCAUCAUCAAUAACUCACUUUACCCGUCUGCUCUUUGGGGCACUGUUGGUCCAUGAGAAGCCUGUGAGGCUCCCAAAUGUGGGCUGGCAAGUCGGGCAUCAGGAACCACCCGUCCGUGCGAAGCGCUCUCAGGCACAGAAGUGUGGUGGCCAGGGCGGAGUGGUGGGCUCUGGGCUCCUCCUGUUGCCUGCUGUGGGUCUUGGUCUCCGGUACCCCUUCCCUCUGCUGUUGUUGGGGUUCCUCACUGGCCACCCUCUCCACUUGUGGAAAUUGGAGGCCCAGGGAAAUGGGGUGCUUGGUCUCCUGGCACAGCCAGGAAGAGGUGGCGCUCUGGAUGGGAGCCCCUCAGGGCUCUGAGCUCUGCUGUCCACCCUGAGAGGUGCAGUUCCAGGAGCAAGGCACUCCCCCAUUCCCCCCUGUUCUAGCUCAGGGACACCAUGUUUGCCCACAGGUGGCCAUGAGCCACCAAUUGUGAGCUCCUUAGAGACCUAGAAGGCGUGCUCAGGAGUUCAAGCUCCGCGUACACCAGUGGUGCUUAAUAAUUCUGCUGGUUGAUAUGCUCAUGCUCUCCUGGUGGCCAGGAUUAACACCGUGAUUCUGUCAGCUCAUCAUCCCUGCAUGGUGGGUAGUCAGGUUCCACAAGGCCAGUCAGAGGGAGGAGGACUGACUGGUCCUCUUCUGGCCACGCAGGGUCAUUUUGGCUCCUUCCUGUGGCUGGACAGACUCAGGUCCAACCCCACAUAAACGGCACUGUGGUAGGAAGUUUCCUUUACUCUCAUCACUGCCGUAUCCCCAGCCUGCUGACCAGCACCUGGCACCCAGUAGGCCCUCAGUAAACCCUGGGGGCUGGAGGGGCUGAGGAAGUGCCCCGGGGCCCCAUCUGUCUUUCCGUCCUUGCCCAUCCCGGACUCCACUGCAGCUCGGUCUGUCCGAGUGAAAGCAGGAGUGCUCUUGGGCAGGGGAGGACCGCGCCUCCUUGACCUUCAUCCACGGAGAAGGCUGACCCUAGGCGGCCCUGAAGCCACAGAGGCCGGCACAGCCUCCAGUGGGCCACCGGCCGGUUCUGGGAGUCGGCCUGAGCAAGCUACCGAGGCCCCUGGCUGAUGGAGAUAAGGUUGAUAAACAGGCCAGUACCUUCCCGCCGCCCUCUUUUAGAGACCCGCUAUUCUUUACGGCUUUGCUCAGGUAGAUCAUUCGGCGCCAUAAAUUUUCUUAUCUCCAGUGCUUUUCCAAUUAUGGAUAACAACAGAAAAGCCGUCAUUGGCUUCUAAAAGGUCAUCAAGAUAUAGAGCCCACGCGGGAAGGGGAUGACGGAUGCAGUUGGCUUGUAUAAAUCUCAAGAAGUUUUAUGCACGAGUCAGACGAGAAACUGUUUUACAUAUGGAUUGCGGGGAGCCGAGAAGUCCUUAUGAAGCCCUGCCCAUGGCUAGUGCAUCCCAAGGACAUGUGGCAAUUGGUCUCCACCUCAUGGAACAGCUGGACGGAAGAGGUCAUGGAAACCACGGGUCUGCAGGACACCAGAAAUGCUGGCGUCCCAUGGACAGUCAACUGGCUCCUGGUGACACCGUCCUCCUGACACGGACUUGUGAUAUUAUCAAAGACAGAACCGUGAUGCCGAUGUGGAGAGCGCCAGGCGGCGCAUCUCGCGGAGCUGUUGAUGUAGGCUGAUCAGAAGGCGGACCCCAGCCCGAGGGUCUGCAUGCGUCAGCUUCGCGGGACUGUGAGGAGAUCCUGGAGGCCGCUUCUUGGGAAGACAAGGAGGGUUCUUGAGCUCACGGUUUUGAAGGUCAGGGGACCCCUUGCUUUGGGCCUCUGGUGAGGGUGGCCGUUCAUGUUGGAGAGAAUGCCCUCUCCACCAGCCAGCAAACAGGGAGACUGCGGUUCCACGGUCCCCUAGGUCCCCUGGAGGCUACGUCCCCAGUGACCCGAGGACAUCCCACCAGGCCCACAGCAUCUCCAGCAGGUCUACCCUGGGGACCAAGUCUUUAAAACAAAGCCUGGGGACACUGCCCGUAUUCACACCAUAGGUCUCUGCUGCUCUUCAGCUGUCCCUUGCUGUGCCAAUGCAGCAGCUGUACCCACCCAGAGCAAGGCACAGAGGGGAAACUCAGACGCGAUGGAGUCCCGCACCCUGGUGCAGAGGUGGGCUGCUGAGUGUCCCACAGCUGGCCCCCAGGGGCGGGCAGUCCUGAUGGCCUCAUUUCCUCAUGCCCAUGAUAAAAAUACUCCCGCUGUGGCCAAUUUCAAGGGCACUCUGCUGACCUUGGAGCCAGG